UAGUAAUGUAUGGUGCAGGUAGAGUUGAGGUUGGGAUCAGGGAGGUAGCUGUAGUAAUGUAUGGUGCAGGUAGAGUUGAGGUUGGGAUCAGGGAGGUAGCUGUAGUAAUGUAUGGUGCAGGUAGAGUUGAGGUUGGGAUCAGGGAGGUAGCUGUAGUAAUGUAUGGUGCAGGUAGAGUUGAGGUUGGGAUCAGGGAGGUAGCUGUAGUAAUGUAUGGUGCAGGUAGAGUUGAGGUUGGGAUCAGGGAGGUAGCUGUAGUAAUGUAUGGUGCAGGUAGAGUUGAGGUUGGGAUCAGGGAGGUAGCUGUAGUAAUGUAUGGUGCAGGUAGAGUUGAGGUUGGGAUCAGGGAGGUAGCUGUAGUAAUGUAUGGUGCAGGUAGAGUUGAGGUUGGGAUCAGGGAGCUAGCUGUAGUAAUGUAUGGUGCAGGUAGAGUUGAGGUUGGGAUCAGGGAGGUAGCUGUAGUAAUGUAUGGUGCAGGUAGAGUUGAGGUUGGGAUCAGGGAGCUAGCUGUAGUAAUGUAUGGUGCAGGUAGAGUUGAGGUUGGGAUCAGGGAGGUAACUGUAGUAAUGUAUGGUGCAGGUAGAGUUGAGGUUGGGAUCAGGGAGGUAACUGUAGUAAUGUAUGGUGCAGGUAGAGUUGAGGUUGGGAUCAGGGAGGUAGCUGUAGUAAUGUAUGGUGCAGGUAGAGUUGAGGUUGGGAUCAGGGAGGUAGCUGUAGUAAUGUAUGGUGCAGGUAGAGUUGAGGUUGGGAUCA